rnacentral:rRNA from 1 species
UACGUAGGGUCCGAGCGUUGUCCGGAAUUAUUGGGCGUAAAGGGCUCGUAGGCGGUCUGUCACGUCGGGUGUGAAAACUCAGGGCUCAACCCUGAGCGUGCUUCCGAUACGGUCGGACUAGAGGUAUGCAGGGGAGAACGGAAUUCCUGGUGUAGCGGUGAAAUGCGCAGAUAUCGGGAGGAACACCGGUGGCGAAGGCGGCGAUCUGGGUCGAUACUGACGCUGAGGUGCGAAAGCGUGGGGAGCAAACAGG